AUGAUAGCGUUGCGCAGGCAUGGCAGGCCGCCAUCGACGCGGCGCAGCCAGAAGAUACCGUGCUGGUGUGCGGAUCAUUCCACACCGUCGCAC
rnacentral:tRNA from 2 species